rnacentral:rRNA from 1 species
AACGAACGCUGGCGGCGCGCUUAAUACAUGCAAGUCGAACGAGAAGGUGUAGCAAUACACUUGUAAAGUGGCGAACGGGUGAGGAAUACAUGGGUAACCUACCCUCGAGUGGGGAACAACCAGCCGAAAGGUUGGCUAAUACCGCGUACGCUUCCGGAUCUUCGGAUUCGGAAGGAAAGUCAUACCGUGGGUAUGACGCUCAAGGAUGGGCUCAUGUCCUAUCAGCUUGUUGGUAGGGUAACGGCCUACCAAGGCUCCGACGGGUAGCUGGUCUGAGAGGACGAUCAGCCACACUGGCACUGCGACACGGGCCAGACUCCUACGGGAGGCAGCAGUAAGGAAUAUUGCGCAAUGGGCGAAAGCCUGACGCAGCGACGCCGCGUGGGGGAUGAAGGUCUUCGGAUUGUAAACCCCUUUCGGGAGGGAAAAUGGAACGAGCAAUCGUUCGGAUGGUACCUCCAGAAGCAGCCACGGCUAACUUCGUGCCAGCAGCCG